CUGUGCUGAUUCGAUCGGGAUAGUCAUCAAUUAAAUUAGAAAAACCGGGCUGACUUCUUUUGUCAAUGGCGGGCCACAAUGCAUCUUCGUGAUGCAGAGCUGCAAAGCCGGUGGAUUACAAAGACGGGGAGCACUCAAAUAUUUUAAACUCGGACUUUUCAUCACAUCGUCAGUACGGCCUUUC
rnacentral:sRNA from 1 species